UAAAUGUCCCCACAGGUAGCUGCUCUGUCCUCACCUUAUCUUACUGAAGUGCUGAUUUACACAGCAGGAGGCAAAUACAUAAUUGACUAUUCCCCUGCCUGUUCCUUUUUCUGUUUGUGCAAUGUGUGGAUUCAGUAAUGACCAUGUUCUCCCUCUUUCCCCUCCAGCCCGCUCCUCCCUUUUAAAUAUUGAAGCCCUCAGAAUCAUCUUUAGAUAAAGGCACAGACCUCCCUCCCAAGCAUGUCCUUAACCUUGGCAAAAUAAACUUCCAAAUUGAUUGAGAGCUGGUUUUGGUUUACAAACUGGCAGCCAAAGGAAGUGACUCAGUGGAGGUGGCCCUGACCUUUGACAAAUCUAUCAGUGCUUGGUACCAGCUUGGGCUAUUUUUAUUGCUCAAACAGGACAAUUUGCUGAGGCCUGGGAGCUCCCCACUCCAGAGAAUCCCUGAUCUCCCAAAAUUUGGUUGAGAUCUAAAGUUUAUUUUGCUGUACACCUCUUUGUCUGCAGUUUUACUUACUCCCAACAAAGAAGGUGCGUUUUCCUGCCUCCAUGACGAUGGAGGGGAGGCAACUCCUUUCUGGAAUUUCAUCUGGCUUCCAGCAGGGAAGGUAAGGAAGCAUGACAGUUGCCCUGACUGCUCCCUGUACCACAUUCAUCACAGCAGAACCUUGUAAUGAAGCUGGAUUUGAGGGCAACACACCCCCUUUAUUGGCUACACACACACUAUCAAGACGAUUCAACUUAGCUACAUUAUACAAAAGUCUUGCUCAGUCGCCCAGGCUGUAGUGCAGUGGCACGAUCUGGGCUCACUGAACGCCUCACCU